rnacentral:rRNA from 1 species
GUGGGGGAUAUUGCACAAUGGGGGAAACCCUGAUGCAGCGACGCCGCGUGAAGGAAGACGUACUUCGGUAUGUAAACUUCUAUCAGCAGGGAAGAAGAUGAUGGUACCUGACUAAGAAGCCCCGGCUAACUACGUGCCAGCAGCCGCGGUAAUACGUAGGGGGCAAGCGUUAUCCGGAUUUACUGGGUGUAAAGGGAGCGUAGACGGUGAAGCAAGUCUGAUGUGAAAACCCGGGGCUCAACUCCGGGAUUGCAUUGGAAACUGUUUUACUUGAGUGCUGGAGGGGCAAGCGGAAUUCCUGGUGUAGCGGUGAAAUGCGUAGAUAUCAGGAAGAACACCGGUGGCGAAGGCGGCUUGCUGGACAGUAACUGACGUUGAGGCUCGAAAGCGUGGGGAGCAAACAGGAUUAGAUACCCGGGUAGUCC